rnacentral:lncRNA from 1 species
UCACUGUGGUUUCUGUCAAUGCUGAUGGUUACCCUUACUAUUCUCCUCCUCCUCCUUACGAGUACAAAUCACCACCUCCUCCACCUUAUGAGCACAAGUCUCCUCCUUAUGAGUACAAGUCUCCACCUCCCCCAUCUCCAUCUCCUCCUCCUCCUUACGUCUACAAGUCUCCACCUCCACCACCAUAUGAGCACAAGUCUCCUCCAUAUGUGUACAAAUCACCACCUCCUCCAUCUCCUUCACCACCACCUCCUUACGUCUACAAGUCUCCACCUCCUCCUCCUUAUGUCUACAAGUCUCCACCUCCUCCUCCUUACGUCUACAAGUCUCCACCACCACCUCCUUAUGUCUACAAAUCUCCCCCUCCACCACCAUAUGAGCACAAGGCUCCACCAUAUUAUUACAAGUCACCACCACCUCCUUCCCCAUCUCCUCCACCUCCUUAUUACUAUAAAUCUCCUCCACCACCCUCUCCCUCACCUCCUCCUCCCUACUACUACAAGUCUCCACCACCUCCUUCACCAUCUCCUCCUCCACCCUACUACUACAAGUCCCCACCACCUCCUUCACCAUCUCCUCCUCCACCCUACUACUACAAGUCCCCACCAC